AUUGAACGCUGGCGGCAGGCCUAACACAUGCAAGUCGAGCGAGCCGCGCACGGGUGAGUAAUGUAUGGAGAUCUGCCUGAUGGAGGGGGAUAACUACUGGAAGCGGUAGCUAAUACCGCAUACCAUCAGAUGAACCCAUAUGGGUUUAGCUUGUAGGUGGGGUAAGGGCUCACCUAGGCGACGAUCCCUAGCUGGUCUGAGAGGAUGAGCAGCCACACGGGAAUUGAGAGACGGCCCGGACCCUUACGGGAGGCGGCGGAGGGGAAUAUUGGACAAUGGACGCAAGCCGAAUGCAGACCUGCCACGUGGAUGAAAAAGGCCUUGGGGUUGUAAAGUACUUUCAGUCGGGAGGCGUUACCGAAAGAAGAAGCACCGGCUAACUCCGUGCCAGCAGCCGCGGUAAUAC
rnacentral:rRNA from 1 species